UAGCGGGGGGAUAACUAUUGGAAACGAUAGCUAAUUCCGCAUAAUAUUAAUUAUUGCAUAAUAAUUGAUUGAAAGAUGCAACUGCAUCACUACCAGAUGGACCUGCGUUGUAUUAGCUAGUAGGUGAGGUAACGGCUCACCUAGGCGACGAUACAUAGCCGACCUGAGAGGGUGAUCGGCCACACUGGGACUGAGACACGGCCCAGACUCCUACGGGAGGCAGCAGUAGGGAAUCUUCGACAAUGGACGAAAGUCUGACCGAGCAACGCCGCGUGAGUGAAGAAGGUUUUCGGAUCGUAAAGCUCUGUUGUAAGAGAAGAACGGGUGUGAGAGUGGAAAGUUCACACUGUGACGGUAUCUUACCAGAAAGGGACGGCUAACUACGUGCCAGCAGCCGCGGUAAUACGUAGGUCCCGAGCGUUGUCCGGAUUUAUUGGGCGUAAAGCGAGCGCAGGCGGUUAGAUAAGUCUGAAGUUAAAGGCUGUGGCUUAACCAUAGUACGCUUUGGAAACUGUUUAACUUGAGUGCAGAAGGGGAGAGUGGAAUUCCAUGUGUAGCGGUGAAAUGCGUAGAUAUAUGGAGGAACACCGGUGGCGAAAGCGGCUCUCUGGUCUGUAACUGACGCUGAGGCUCGAAAGCGUGGGGAGCGAACAGG
rnacentral:rRNA from 1 species